CUAAAGCCCUAUGGGACAGACCAUGACAGCCGACUUGCUCGGAACCACAGCAAAUGCAAGUAUGAAAGCAGCUAAACUCAAAGCUGCAACUGCCAUAUAUGCUGAUGGACAUCUCCAUUUCCACCCCAGAAGACAGACUGUGCCAGAGCCCAGUACACGCGCGGGACUCAGGACAUUCUCGUGCAGUUCCUGCCUUCAGACCUGCUCCUCCCCCUCCCUGGAGCACAGCGCCCCUUCUCGGCCUGGAUGACCUCACAUUUCCCUUUCAGAUUCUCUGCUGGGAUACCAGUCUUCUGCUCGGAUUUGGAUUCCUAGUAGAACUCACACCAACAGCUCUCCUGCUUCUCAGGUCUUUGGACUCAGACUGAAACUAUGCCAUUGGCUCUCCUUGGUGUCGACUGCUCAG